rnacentral:tRNA from 1 species
GGGUCUUUAGCUCAGUGGUUAGAGCCACCCGCUCAUAACGGGUUGGUCGUAGGUUCAAGUCCUACAAGACCCACCA